GAGUUUGAUCCUGGCUCAGAUUGAACGCUGGCGGCGUGCCUAACACAUGCAAGUCGAGCGGUAACAGGUGUAGCAAUACAUGCUGACGAGCGGCGGACGGGUGAGUAACGCUUGGGAAUCUGCCUAUUAGUGGGGGACAACCCGGGGAAACUCGGGCUAAUACCGCAUACGCACUACGGUGGAAAGCCGGGGACCGCAAGGCCUGGCGCUAAUAGAUGAGCCCAAGUCGGAUUAGCUAGUUGGUAGGGUAAUGGCCUACCAAGGCUACGAUCCGUAACUGGUCUGAGAGGACGACCAGUCACACCGGAACUGAGACACGGUCCGGACUCCUACGGGAGGCAGCAGUGGGGAAUAUUGGACAAUGGGCGAAAGCCUGAUCCAGCGACGCCGCGUGGGUGAAGAAGGCCUGCGGGUUGUAAAGCCCUUUCGGUAGGGAAGAAAAGCCUCGACCUAACACGUCGGGGUAUUGACGUAACCUACUAAAGAAGCACCGGCUAACUCUGUGCCAGCCGCCGCAUAAU
rnacentral:rRNA from 1 species